CCGCGUCCCAGCCUCUGCCUCCGCACACCCCAGGCCGCCCGGCCACGCGCACUGCCCGGGAAGUGCCGCUGCCCUCACCCUGAGUAACUUCAGUGCUGGCUAAUUGGAAGGCACCAGCCUCGGGCUGCUGAUCUUUCUGGAAAGUUUUAACUGUGGAGGAGAAAGAAAACGUCUUAGCUUCAGAAGACAGGCGUGCCUGGAGGGGAUGGCAGACAGGUCGACGGGCCUGGCUUUCUAAGAAGUGGAGAGGAGGCUGGAGGAGCAUAAAUAGGUCAUGAGGGUAUCUGAACCCCAACCAGGUCAGUCCUGUCCGGCUUCACCCAACACAGUUCUUGGAAGGGAAGAAGUGAUUCACCAAGAAUUACACCUACAAACCCACUGAAUCGCACAGAACACCUACUGAACUCUGGCAGAGCGUCUCGCUUCUAAAUACAGAAGGAUUCUCACAAAAUCUGCCUCCAGCCAGAUUGCCUCUGAUAUCCAAAGGGUCACAUGUGUUUGGAAGCCACUGAAGAAGUGACACUGAGCAGCUUCUGCAGGACAGGCAGCCUCCUCCUCUCCCCUUCUUUUCUAUCUUGUUUCUCCCUCCAGAAUUGCUCCCUGACUCCCUUUCAUCUGAGCCCCUCCCUCCGCCCAUGAUCAGAGCUACUUCAUUCCUUCUGAUUAGUUCUCACUGUCAGGCCCAAAGACAGAACCACCCAAUUCGAUUUUUUUAAAACAUUCUCAUCUUUUUCAAAAAAUUGAAGCAUAGUUGGUUUUACAAUGUUGUGUUAAUAUGUGGUGUACAGCAUAGUGAUUCAGUUAUACAUAUGCCUUUUCAUAGUCUUUUUC